rnacentral:rRNA from 1 species
GACGGAGGGGGCAAGCGUUGUUCGGAAUUAUUGGGCGUAAAGAGCUCGUAGGCGGUUGGGUAAGUCGGGUGUGAAAACUCCAGCUCAACUUGGAGACGCCACCCGAUACUGCUCUGACUUGAGUUCGGUAGGGGAGUGGGGAAUUCCUGGUGUAGCAGUGAAAUGCGUAGAGAUCGUAAGGAAGACCAGUGGCGAAGGCGAGUUUCUGGACAGUUACUGACGCUGAGGCACGAAGGCCAGGGGAGCAAACGGGG